rnacentral:rRNA from 1 species
CAGUAGCCGCGGUAAUACGAAAGGUGCAAGCGUUAAUCGGAAUUACUGGGCGUAAAGCGCGCGUAGGUGGUUCAUUAAGUUGGAUGUGAAAUCCCUGAGCUUAACUUAGGAAUUGCAUUCGAUACUGGGAAGCUAGAGUAUGGGAGAGGAUGGUAGAAUUCCAGGUGUAGCGGUGAAAUGCGUAGAGAUCUGGAGGAAUACCGAUGGCGAAGGCAGCCAUCUGGCCUAAUACUGACGCUGAGGUACGAAAGCAUGGGGAGCAAACAGGAUUAGAUACCCCCGUAGUCCCUGUCUCUUAUAC